rnacentral:rRNA from 1 species
UACGAAGGGGGCUAGCGUUGCUCGGAAUCACUGGGCGUAAGGGGUGCGUAGGCGGGUCUUUUAAGUCAGGGGUGAAAUCCUGGAGCUCAACUCCAGAACUGCCUUUGAUACUGAAGAUCUUGAGUUCGGGAGAGGUGAGUGGAACUGCGAGUGUAGAGGUGAAAUUCGUAGAUAUUCGCAAGAACACCAGUGGCGAAGGCGGCUCACUGGCCCGGUACUGACGCUGAGGUGCGAAAGCGUGGGGAGCAAACAGG